rnacentral:rRNA from 1 species
CCUACGGGAGGCAGCAGUGGGGAAUAUUGGACAAUGGGCGAAAGCCUGAUCCAGCAAUGCCGCGUGUGUGAAGAAGGCCUUCGGGUUGUAAAGCACUUUAAGUUGGGAAGAAAAAGCUCUGGCUAAUAUCUAGAGCCUUGACGGUACCAACAGAAUAAGCACCGGCUAACUCUGUGCCAGCAGCCGCGGUAAUACAGAGGGUGCUAGCGUUAAUCGGAUUUACUGGGCGUAAAGCGUGCGUAGGCGGUUUGAUAAGUCGAUUGUGAAAGCCCCGGGCUUAACCUGGGAAUUGCAGUUGAUACUGUCAGACUAGAAAACGGUAGAGGGAGGCGGAACUCCAGGUGUAGCGGUGAAAUGCGUAGAUAUCUGGAAGAACACCGAUGGCGAAGGCAACCUCCUGGGCCUGUUUUGACGCUGAGGCACGAAAGCGUGGGUAGCAAACAGGAUUAGAUACCCUGGUAGUCCACGCCGUAAACGAUGAGAACUUGACGUUGGUUUGCUUAGCAAAUCGGUGUCGUAGCUAACGCGAUAAGUUCUCCGCCUGGGGAGUACGGCCGCAAGGUUGAAACUUCGAAAGGAAUUGACGG